rnacentral:misc_RNA from 1 species
CCCGUCUUAAUAUCAGUAAUUCAUUUUUACCAUUUUACUGGUCUUGCAAGUGAAGACACACAUGAUGUGAUAACGGCAUCCCUUUUCAUUUAUAUUUUGGCUGGGGCAAAAAAAAAAAUGAAUGCAACAACACAACUCUAUGACACGUGUUUGCUACAACAAAUUCAUUGGCCUAUGAGACUCAAAAUCUAGGUAUUCUCCAUUUGCUUGCCCAUACCCAUACAUGUCAAAAUGUUUGUCUUCCAAAUUCAUAUUCCCGAUUUCUCGUCCUCUAAAUCCCUCCGUUGGGGAAGCCCAUGGAGCAGGAGUUGAAGGGUUAGAGCUAGAACCCUCUUGGUUUAAACUGAUGGUGCUUGGAUUCUGCGGAGAAUUUCCAGCUGCCCUCCUGUUGGAAGAAUUGGCCGUCGUUAGAGAAAUGGAUGUUGAUUGCUGUUGCUGCUGGUUUUUCACUGGUGAUUUUGGCCUUAGACUCUCUAUUUCAGGGGUAGUCAUGACAAGAUGAGGUGCCUCGGGGGGAGGAUUUCGUCCACCACCUCCUUGCCAUACUUUCCCAUCCUUGUCAGCAAAAUUCCUAACAUAUGCCUCAGCAUUGAAAUUUGAUGAGGAUAGUCCUUUACCAACAGUCAACCAACCAGAUCGAAUAUUGUGGUCUUCACCAAAAAGCUCCAGCCUUCUGCGGCCGAGGGAGAAAUGCUCAAUUAUACGAUACAUAUCUUCAGGCUUUUGAGUUGAACCGUAAGGAGGUUCCUCAGCAAUAAUUACGUCAGUGUCAAUGUUUGCAUGGAUUAUAUGACCAUCAGUGCUGCGACGAACUGUUCCCUUUAUACCCAUCAAGCAGUGUUCCUUUGAGUGCUGAAACAAAGUGUGAGAAUCAUGCCGCAAGCCUGGAGUUGCAUUUGUUUUGUUGGUCUUCACCCAACAAAUAUCCUCACAUCUCCGAAAUCCCCACUUCUUUAAACAUUGACGACCUUGCUCAAGUCCCACGCCAUCACCCACCCAGAGGAAGAUAAAAGAAGGUGUAUCUGUUAUUGCCUCAAUCUUGAGAUUUAAUAUAUCUUCAAAUGUCCAAUACUCCGUAUGGUCAGCAACACCAGGAGCUCGAUGAACAUAUUCUUCCCAAGGGGGGUCCACCAGAAUUACAUCAAACUUGGUUCCAAAAAACUCCGGAGACAGUUCAAACUCAUGUAGGUCACACUUCAAAUACAUUGGUGCAGAGGCAGAUUUGGCAACAAUCUCAUCCUUUUUCUGUAUAAGCUCCCUGAGUUUGGGGUAAUCCUCUACAACAUUGGUAAGCUCCAGCUCCCUGAUAAAAUUCUGGGGUCGCAUACCAGUAUCUACAAAAUUCUGUGAAUAAUCAUUCUGCUCUCCUCUUGAAGGCGCUUUCCCCGGAGGUCCAUUAUUUCUAGGAGGAACCCAGCCCCCUGAGCUCUUAUCAGGAGGUGUUCCUCGUCCUAUAGGUCCUGCAGCAUUAAAACCAGGACCAGACAUGUUUGGAGGCAUUCCCCUUCCAGGUCCUGCCUGAUUAAAAAACAUAGCAGGGUUUGGUGGGGGAGUCCCCAUGUUAGGAGGAAAUCUUGGGGCUGAUGGUCCAGGAGGAACAGGAGAGAGAGCUGGUGGCAUGGCUAGCAUAUUCAUCUCUACACCUCGAGCCCCAGGCCAAACUACAGGAGAAGAAAAUGGUGGAAUAAAGACACCUGGUGAAAUUGGAGGACCUGGAGCAGGUGACAUACUAGGGCCGAGUGGCUGCAUUGGUCCAGGUGGUAGAACUCCCAUAGGCCCAAAAGGUGAUCCCAUUAUGGGCAAAGGGACCUGUUGGUUGUCUCUACCAGUUGGCCUACCCCUUCCUCCUCUCCCUACUCUGCUCCCCUUUAUUCCCAGUGGAGGAGCUCUGGAGAAGGACCCUGUUUCAUGUGAACCACCACUGGAACUCUGGCCAGCAGCACCUCGACCAGACAUAGCCCCUCUCUGUCCUCUUCCUUUCCCUGCCUGGUAGUCUACUUCAUCCCUCCCUGAACUUGGAUCUUGCAUGGAUGCACCAUCAUCAGUAUACCAUUCCUUUUUAUCCUCAGCAGAAGGUGUAGAACCAUAACCAUAUAACUCAUGUCUUCUUGCCCUUUCAUCUCGAAUAUGUGCCCACUCUUCAACAUUUGGUGCUGAUUUCCCAUCAGAUUGCUGACCAAGCUCAGUUCUCCUGGCAAAUUUGGAUCCAGAAUCUGCUCGUCCAUAAUCAAGAGGUUUGGUUUGGAUCUCUAUCACAUCAUAAUUCUCGUUUGAAAUUCCGAAAUUUGAUGACGUUUUUACAGCUUCACCCCUGCUUCGACCAUGAUGCUUUUCAUUGUCAAUCCUCUCACGGGCAUGUCUUGGCUCCCAAUCUCUGCCACGAUCAUAAAAAACAUCUCCAUCUUUUGACUCUCUAUCAUUAAAAGUGGUUUGCCUUCUUUUCCAACUGUCUUUGGAACUUUCCCGAUCUCUAUUCCUGUCACUCCAGCUGUCAUCCCUGCCUUUUGAUCUAUCAUCUCUAAGGCCAUCCCUUUCUAGAUCCUUCAUCCUGAUGUCUGAGCUUCUUUCAUACUCCAUUUCAGAGUACUGUGAUUCUUGAUGACGCCUUACACUCCUCUCUGGGGUUCUAGACCUGUUAGAGCGCCCCGCUUCUCUAGCACUUUUAUCUCUUACCCAGAUAUUUCCAUCUUCAUCUGCAUUCAAAGACCUUUCACGACUUUCAAUAGCAUCCCUGCUAGUGGAAGUUCUCUGCUGUCUAUGCUUCUCACUCUUCUGCCGACCUGACCUGUCUUCACGAGUAAUAGGACUACCUUUAUCAUCCUCUUCUAAAGCUUCUGACCUGCUUUUGCUGUUGUUCCUCUCUCCAUCAGCUCUUGUUUCUUCUCUGUUGUUGGCUUUGACGCCUUUCUCAUUGUUUGAAUCUAAACCCCUACUUUUACUCUCACCAGUUUCAUUUCUUGCAGAAGCACUGCUAUCUUUAGAAUUUUCAUAUUUGGAAUCAGAACUCCUUACACUUCUGAUAUUAGCCUUUUCAUGAUGACUUUCUUCAGCUUUCUUUCCAGCAUCUGAUUCAUCCCACCUCCUCCUAGAAGUUCUUCCCAGCUCAGUAGAACCAUGAGCCUUGUCUCGGCUACUUUCCCUCCUAUCUGAGUACCUGGAAUCUCUAUCUCGUGACUUCUCAUGCUCUCCAUCAUGGAAUCUUUCUUCUUUACUUUUGGUUCCACUGCGUGAACUCUCAUGUUCUGAGAUCUUCGAUGUCAUUUUCCUUUUCUCACUCUCAUCAGCACGACUGUGCCCUUUACUUCCAGACUUUUCUGCAACCUGUCUGUUCUCUAAUUCUCCAUCCUGGUACCAACUGCUCAGCUUUUCCAAGCUACUUUCUUCUUGUUUCUUCUUUAUUUGCUUUAAUCGCAACUCUUUUCUUGUUUCAUAAUCAUCAUCACUACCUGCUCUGCUAGAACCACCACCUGACCUCUUAUGGCUCUCAUUCCUGUCCCCACCAGAACUUCUUCUUCUCCCAUUGCCAUCUAAUCCCUCAGCAUCUUCUCCAUUGCUCGACUUCCUGGACUUGCUGGACCGAUGCCUCCUCUUAUCACUGCCAUCCCAUUCCUCAUCAUCCCCUGCCCUAUCACUCUUCACAUCUGAGCUAUCCUCGGUGUCUCGCUUCACAUAGCUCCGACUACGUUCAGGUGAAUCCAUUGCAAAUAAAAGGUCCUUGAAUAAUUAAUUCCUGUAUAAUUUGUGUAACUGAACCUUGUAACACUACAAACAAAUGAACCUGAAACCAUGUAGACAGGAAUAAGGAAUCUGACUGAGCACGUGUAUUUUCUUUAUCAAACAAAAUUGAACAGAUCCAUCACAUUUUGUAUAUAGUCUUUAAAGGUAAAAUUUUGUAACCAUAAUAAAAUGGAGAAACCAAGGAAUAUAACCAUGGCUAUAGAAGAUAAUGACAGACAUUCAACUAAAAGUGCGACCAAUGUGAGCAAUUUUCACUCAACAAAAGGGAAACAUAUCAACUGCUCUCAACAUCACAAUUCUUCAAUCUCCUAGAAAAGGUCUAAUAGUUACUAAAACUACAGAGAAUUAAGAAAUUCUCGAUUGCCUUACAACCUAGCAAAACCAAAAAGAACUGCGCAAAAACGUGAGCGGCUAAUGUACGCAAUUACAAAGUUUCCAUGUCGCAGAUUGAGAGAAAGCUCAAAAAUCGACAUAAGAAGUGAAAUCAUGAACAUUUACGUAAAUUGCGUAAAGUAAAUAAAGCUAAAAACGUAAAUUGCUGUGAUUACAAUUAGCAAUAGAAAGAACCCUAGAAAACUGAAAUACGAGGGGGAAAGAAGAGAGAUUGAUAGUUGCGUGUGUUUAGAGAUAGAGAUAGAAGUACCUGGCAACCGCGAUUUGUGAAAAAAAACGGUAGGGAAACCCUAGUACCAAUCACCAACUCUCUAAAAAGGGUUUUCAGGUCUUGCAGAGUUCUGCAACGCGACUAAAAACCAUGGAAAUGAACCCUUUUUUUUUCCGUAGUUUAUUUAUUUUAAUAUUUCCAAACCAUUAAGAAUAUCAACGAAUAAUAAUAUCUUAAACCAUAAAAAAAAGAGAGAAUUAUAAAAUGAAAGUAUUAAUUUUUAAAUUAUUCCUUUAAUUGGAAAAUGAAAUAAAAUAAAACUAAAAAUUCAUGAUAAAUGAUAUAGUGCUUACUGUUCAGAAUCCGCAACAGAUUUGUAAUAGGUGGGAUUUGGGCAUCAAGUUUGAAUUGUGGGAGCAGAUUUUUGUCAAAGAAGAAAGGACAUUUGAACUUGCAAAUCUUUUUCCUUACUAACUGCAAAGUCAUAGCGAUGUUAAUGGUCCGGCUAAAGUGGGACACUGCACCAAUCCUACAUGCUCACACUGCCCCCGCCGCCGCUG